rnacentral:rRNA from 1 species
CCUACGGGGGGCAGCAGUGAGGAAUAUUGGUCAAUGGACGAGAGUCUGAACCAGCCAAGUAGCGUGAAGGAUGACUGCCCUAUGGGUUGUAAACUUCUUUUAUAUGGGAAUAAAAUGUUCCACGUGUGGGAUUUUGUAUGUACCAUAUGAAUAAGGAUCGGCUAACUCCGUGCCAGCAGCCGCGGUAAUACGGAGGAUCCGAGCGUUAUCCGGAUUUAUUGGGUUUAAAGGGAGCGUAGGUGGAUUGUUAAGUCAGUUGUGAAAGUUUGCGGCUCAACCGUAAAAUUGCAGUUGAAACUGGCAGUCUUGAGUACAGUAGAGGUGGGCGGAAUUCGUGGUGUAGCGGUGAAAUGCUUAGAUAUCACGAAGAACUCCGAUUGCGAAGGCAGUUCACUGGACUGAAACUGACACUGAGGCUCGAAAGUGUGGGUAUCAAACAGGAUUAGAUACCCUAGUAGUC